rnacentral:rRNA from 1 species
UGCAAGUCGAACGAUGAAGCCCAGCUUGCUGGGUGGAUUAGUGGCGAACGGGUGAGUAACACGUGAGUAACCUGCCCUUAACUCUGGGAUAAGCCUGGGAAACUGGGUCUAAUACCGGAUAGGAGCGUCCACCGCAUGGUGGGUGUUGGAAAGAUUUAUCGGUUUUGGAUGGACUCGCGGCCUAUCAGCUUGUUGGUGAGGUAAUGGCUCACCAAGGCGACGACGGGUAGCCGGCCUGAGAGGGUGACCGGCCACACUGGGACUGAGACACGGCCCAGACUCCUACGGGAGGCAGCAGUGGGGAAUAUUGCACAAUGGGCGAAAGCCUGAUGCAGCGACGCCGCGUGAGGGAUGACGGCCUUCGGGUUGUAAACCUCUUUCAGUAGGGAAGAAGCGAAAGUGACGGUACCUGCAGAAGAAGCACCGGCUAACUACGUGCCAGCAGCCGCGGUAAUACGUAGGGUGCGAGCGUUAUCCGGAAUUAUUGGGCGUAAAGAGCUCGUAGGCGGUUUGUCGCGUCUGUCGUGAAAGUCCGGGGCUUAACCCCGGAUCUGCGGUGGGUACGGGCAGACUAGAGUGCAGUAGGGGAGACUGGAAUUCCUGGUGUAGCGGUGGAAUGCGCAGAUAUCAGGAGGAACACCGAUGGCGAAGGCAGGUCUCUGGGCUGUAACUGACGCUGAGGAGCGAAAGCAUGGGGAGCGAACAGGAUUAGAUACCCUGGUAGUCCAUGCCGUAAACGUUGGGCACUAGGUGUGGGGACCAUUCCACGGUUUCCGCGCCGCAGCUAACGCAUUAAGUGCCCCGCCUGGGGAGUACGGCCGCAAGGCUAAAACUCAAAGGAAUUGACGGGGGCCCG